rnacentral:tRNA from 1 species
GGCUCCAUAGCUCAGUUGGUUAGAGCGCCAGUCUAGUAAAUUGGAGGUCGAGUGUUCAAAUCUCUCUGGAGUCU